UUGGUUAUGAUUCGCGUAAGCACUUUUUGAUUUGAAACAAAUUUCGAGUUCGCAUCGGAAUUUAUGACAUACUUCGAAGGAAAGAAGGUUUGCUGAGGAUCGUAAACUAUGGCUAAAUAAUAUUCGCGAAAAGCUGCGACAAAAGAAGCAAGUCCGCAUAAUCUAGAUUCCACUGUAGUGGAAUCAGAGGUUCAAUGGAUUUGUUGACCUUUGAAAGGACUGUUUGAGUUCAUGCUGUUGAGGAUGCAUUUGUCAAGCUUUGAAGUUUGUUGGUAUUGGCACAUUAAUCAUGUUGCAAGACACAUCAGCACAAGUAAUUGAGGCUUCAUCUCC